GAGUCUAUGAUCGAUCGCACAAAAACAAACCUUGGAUUGGUUCGAGUGGAGCACCUCGUCCACGAUGUCGAGCAGCUCACGCACCUUGUCCUGCUCGAUCUGUGGCGACUCCCAAGUUAAAGGAUUCUCAACGUCGUGAAGCUCCCAGGGGCAGUGGUUCGUCGUCGAUGGCUCGUCCUUGUACAGCACACUGAUGCUGUCCCAGGGGCUGUUUGGAAACUCGGGCGACUUUGCCUUCACCUGAGUUAUCGUCCC
rnacentral:lncRNA from 1 species